GAUGAACGCUGGCGGCGUGCCUAAUACAUGCAAGUCGAGCGAACAGAUAAGGAGCUUGCUCCUUUGACGUUAGCGGCGGACGGGUGAGUAACACGUGGGUAACCUAUCUAUAAGACUGGAAUAACUCCGGGAAACCGGGGCUAAUGCCGGAUAACAUGUUGAACCGCAUGGUUCUACAGUGAAAGGCGGCUUUGCUGUCACUUAUAGAUGGACCCGCGCCGUAUUAGCUAGUUGGUGAGGUAACGGCUCACCAAGGCAACGAUACGUAGCCGACCUGAGAGGGUGAUCGGCCACACUGGAACUGAGACACGGUCCAGACUCCUACGGGAGGCAGCAGUAGGGAAUCUUCCGCAAUGGGCGAAAGCCUGACGGAGCAACGCCGCGUGAGUGAUGAAGGUCUUCGGAUCGUAAAACUCUGUUAUUAGGGAAGAACAAAUGCGUAAGUAACUGUGCGCGCCUUGACGGUACCUAAUCAGAAAGCCACGGCUAACUACGUG
rnacentral:rRNA from 1 species